rnacentral:rRNA from 1 species
AUGUUAACUGCAGGGUUCAAAAACGAGGUUUCAAAUAAGCUUAAUGCGGAGCCCACUCUUGAGUUUGCAAUCGUGCAAGAUGCAGAUCGUCUGGAUGCAAUUGGUGCGAUUGGUGUUGCAAGAUGUUUUACAUAUGGAGGGAGCAAGAACAGUGCAUUGCAUGAUCCUAACGUACUUCCACGGGAUAAUUUGUCAAAGGAGAAGUAUAUGUCCAAGGAGGAGAAGCAAACAUCAAUUAAUCAUUUCCAUGAGAAACUUUUUAAGUUGAAGGACAUGAUGAAGACCGAGGCUGGGAAAAAGAGAGCAGAGAAAAGGCACAAGUUCAUGGAGAAUUUUGUGGCUGAAUUCUAUGAAGAGUGGAGUGGCAGGGCUUGA